GACGAACGCUGGCGGCGUGCCUAAUACAUGCAAGUUGAGCGCUGAAGGUUGGUACUUGUACCGACUGGAUGAGCAGCGAACGGGUGAGUAACGCGUGGGGAAUCUGCCUUUGAGCGGGGGACAACAUUUGGAAACGAAUGCUUAUACCGCAUAAAAACUUUAAACACAAGUUUUAAGUUUGAAAGAUGCAAUUGCAUCACUCAAAGAUGAUCCCGCGUUGUAUUAGCUAGUUGGUGAGGUAAAGGCUCACCAAGGCGAUGAUACAUAGCCGACCUGAGAGGGUGAUCGGCCACAUUGGGACUGGGACACGGCCCAAACUCCUACGGGAGGCAGCAGUAGGGAAUCUUCGGCAAUGGACGAAAGUCUGACCGAGCAACGCCGCGUGAGUGAAGAAGGUUUUCGGAUCGUAAAACUCUGUUGGUAGAGAAGAACGUUGGUGAGAGUGGAAAGCUCAUCAAGUGACGGUAACUACCCAGAAAGGGACGGCUAACUACGUG
rnacentral:rRNA from 1 species